rnacentral:lncRNA from 1 species
AUAAUUUAUAACAAACUCGUUUAUUAACAUAAAAACCUUUACUGUCCACUUACCUCUGGCGUCUGGUUCUUCUUCUCCGGCGAGGCACUGGCGGCUAGGGUUUUGUGGUCAGGUGUGGGUGGGGUUAUUUAUACCCUUUGCCUUUUAAUCUCAACCGUCCAUCAAGAUUAAAUCUGGACCGUCCGAUCGCGAUUUAAUUGGGAUUAAAUCUGGGCCGUCCAUCACGAUGCAAUCUGGGCCGUC